rnacentral:rRNA from 1 species
GAUGAACGCUGGCGGCGUGCCUAACACAUGCAAGUCGAACGGAGAUUACGGACGGAAGUUUUCGGAUGGAAGCCUGUAAUUCUUAGUGGCGGACGGGUGAGUAACGCGUGGGCAACCUGCCCUAUACAGGGGGAUAGCAGCUGGAAACGGCUGGUAAGACCGCAUAAGUCGGUUAAAUCGCAUGAUUUGAUCGGGAAAUGAGCAAUCAGGUAUAGGAUGGGCCCGCGUCCGAUUAGCCAGUUGGCAGGGUAAAAGCCUACCAAAGCGACGAUCGGUAGCCGGACUGAGAGGUCGGACGGCCACAUUGGGACUGAGACACGGCCCAAACUCCUACGGGAGGCAGCAGUGGGGGAUACUGCACAAUGGAGGAAACUCUGAUGCAGCGACGCCGCGUGAGUGAAGAAGUAUUUCGGUAUGUAAAGCUCUAUCAGCAGGGAAGAUGAUGACGGUACCUGACUAAGAAGCCCCGGCUAACUACGUG